CCUACGGGGUGCAGCAGUGAGGAAUAUUGGUCAAUGGGCGUAAGCCUGAACCAGCCAAGUCGCGUGAGGGAUGAAGGUUCUAUGGAUCGUAAACCUCUUUUAUAAGGGAAUAAAGUGUGGGACGUGUCCUGUUUUGUAUGUACCUUAUGAAUAAGGAUCGGCUAACCCCGUGCCAGCAGCCGCGGUAAUACGGAGGAUCCGAGCGUUAUCCGGAUUUAUUGGGUUUAAAGGGAGCGUAGGAGGGCUUUUAAGUCAGCUGUGAAAGUCUGUGGCUCAACCAUAGAAUUGCCGAAGAAACUGGGAGGCUUGAGUAUGUUAGAGGCAAGCGGAAUGCGUGGUGUAGCGGUAAAAUGCUUAGAUAUAACGAAGAACCCCAGUGGCGAAGGCGGCCUGCC
rnacentral:rRNA from 1 species